CGCCAGCCCUUCCGGGUCAGCGCCGAGCCGCAGCCGGGUCCGUGCUGCCGCCGCGGCCGGCCCGGUAUGGACAACCAGAAGGAUGAGAAAGGCAGGCUGCUCAGUGCAGCUUCUACAGAGGACCUGAAAGUCCAAGGAAAAGAAAAAAGGAAAAGAAAACGUAGCAGAAGCAGAUCAUCAUCUGUUUCAUCCACAUCAUCUUCUAGUACUGCAUCCACUUCUUCUUCCUCAUCGCAUUCAUCAUCAAGGUCCUCAUCUUCAAGUAGCAGAGAUUCUUCUAAAACUAAAUCAAAGAGAAGGAAAAAAGAAA